rnacentral:rRNA from 1 species
AGUCGAGCGGACAGAAGGGAGCUUGCUCCCGGACGUUAGCGGCGGACGGGUGAGUAACACGUGGGCAACCUGCCCCUUAGACUGGGAUAACUCCGGGAAACCGGAGCUAAUACCGGAUAAUCCCUUUUUCCACCUGGAGAGAGAGUGAAAGAUGGCUUCGGCUAUCACUAGGGGAUGGGCCCGCGGCGCAUUAGCUAGUUGGUAAGGUAACGGCUUACCAAGGC